AUAGGGGUAAAAUAGACAAAUGAAAAAAAUAUCAUAGAAUGUCACUUGUCACUUUUAGGUGAACUUAUUUUAGAGACCAGGUUUAUUAGAUUUUUAUAGAUCUAGAUGUAGAUAUGCCAAGUUAUGCCCAAAGCUUAUGGCAGUAUUAUGAGACCAGAAUUUCUUUCUUCCUUCCUUCAAAAAGAGAAGACAGUCAUUUGUUUUUGGGGUGCCUGUAUAGGUAGCACAUUCAUCAACACUGUCUAGGGUGUGAAAAUUAAUCAAGGAGUGGAUGAAAUUGGUGUUGACAGUCUAUAUAUUAUUUAUCAGGAAAAGUUGAGAAAGGACUAUGAAAAUAACAAGUUUGAACAACCCUACGAGCAAGCUAUGUACUAUUGCUAUUUAUUGCUAUGCGACCAGAAAUGGCCAUGGAUGGAAAAACUAGAAGUUCUUCCUCAUCUUGAAGCUGAAGAUCUUAUAAAGUUUACUCCCAUGAUGCUCUCAAGGGCAUUCCUAGAGUGCUACAUAGCAGGUAACAUUGAAUGCAGUGAGGCAGAGUCCAUAAUUCAGUAUGUUGAAGAUGUUUUCUUCAAGGGUCCAAACCCCAUAUGCCAACCUUUAUUCCCAUCCCAGCAUUUGACAAAUAGGGUUAUCAAGCUUGAAAGGGGUAUGAGUUAUGUCUACCCUAUCAAAGCCUUGAAUCCAAGUAAUGA
rnacentral:misc_RNA from 1 species